rnacentral:rRNA from 1 species
GACGAACGCUGGCGGCGUGCUUAACACAUGCAAGUCGAACGGUGAAGCUCCAGCUUGCUGGAGUGGAUCAGUGGCGAACGGGUGAGUAACACGUGAGCAACCUGCCCCUGACUCUGGAAUAAGCGCUGGAAACGGCGUCUAAUACUGGAUACGAGAAGGGUCCGCAUGGGCACUUUCUGGAAAGUUUUUCGGUUGGGGAUGGGCUCGCGGCCUAUCAGCUUGUUGGUGAGGUAAUGGCUCACCAAGGCGACGACGGGUAGCCGGCCUGAGAGGGCGACCGGCCACACUGGGACUGAGACACGGCCCAGACUCCUACGGGAGGCAGCAGUGGGGAAUAUUGCACAAUGGGCGAAAGCCUGAUGCAGCGACGCCGCGUGAGGGAUGACGGCCUUCGGGUUGUAAACCUCUUUCAGCAGGGAAGAAGCGAAAGUGACAGUACCUGCAGAAGAAGCACCGGCUAACUACGUGC